rnacentral:rRNA from 1 species
GCCUUUGACCUAAUCACCCAGAAUACGCCUGAUCUCAUCAGAUGUCGGGAGCUAAGCAGGGUUGAGCCAGGACUGUGCUUGGAUGGACGACCACCGUGAUUGAAACAGGUGUUAUAGGCU